rnacentral:misc_RNA from 1 species
CCAAUAGCGUAUAUUAAAGUUGUUGCAGUUAAAAAGCUCGUAGUUGAACUUCGGGGUCUACCCAUUGGUCAGGCUUAAUUGUCUGCACUGGUGAGAUGGAUCUCUACCUUCUGAGGAACUUUCAUGCCAUUUAUUUGGUGUGGUUGGAAAUCAGGACUGUUACUUUGAAAAAAUUAGAGUGUUUAAAGCAGACUAUCGUCUGAAUACAUUAGCAUGGAAUAAUGAAAUAGGACGGACUGAUUCUAUUUCGUUGGUUUCUAGGAUCACCGUAAUGAUUAAUAGGGAUAGUUGGGGGCAUUAGUAUUCAAUUGUCAGAGGUGAAAUUCUUGGAUUUAUUGAAGACUAACUACUGCGAAAGCAUUUGCCAAGGAUAUUUUCAUUAAUCAAGAACGAAAGUUAGGGGAUCGAAGACGAUCAGAUACCGUCGUAGUCUUAACCAUAAACUAUGCCGACUAGGGAUCGGACGAAGUUAAUUUAUAAUGACGCGUUCGGCACCUUACG